GUAGGGAAUAUUGGGCAAUGGACGGAAGUCUGACCCAGCCAUGCCGCGUGCAGGAAGAAGGCCUUCUGGGUUGUAAACUGCUUUUAUCUAGGAAGAAAACACCCAUGCGUGGGAAACUGACGGUACUAGAUGAAUAAGCACCGGCUAACUCCGUGCCAGCAGCCGCGGUAAUACGGAGGGUGCAAGCGUUGUCCGGAUUUAUUGGGUUUAAAGGGUGCGUAGGCGGCCCGUUAAGUCAGUGGUGAAAGCCUCCAGCUCAACUGGAGAACUGCCAUUGAUACUGGCGGGCUUGAGUACAGACGAGGUUGGCGGAAUUGAUUGUGUAGCGGUGAAAUGCAUAGAUACAAUCAAGAACACCGAUUGCGUAGGCAGCUAACUAGGCUGUAACUGACGCUGAGGCACGAAAGCGUGGGGAGCGAACAGGAUUAGAAACCCUGGUAGUCC
rnacentral:rRNA from 1 species